AGAGAGAGACAGAGAGACAGAGAGAGAGAGAGAGAGACAGAGAGACAGAGAGAGUGAGAGAGACAGAGAGACACAGAGAGAAAGAGCGAGAGAGAAAGAGCGAGAGAAGAGCGAGAGAGAGAGAGAGACACACAGGGAGAAAGAGAGAUAGACGCACAGAGAGACACACACACAGAGAAAGAGAGCGCGAGAGACACAGAGAGAGAGACACACAGACAGAGAGAGACUCACACAGAGAGAGACACACACACACAGAGACACAGAGAGAGACAUAGAGAGACACAGAGAUACAGAAAGAGAGACAGAGACACAGAGUGAGAGACACACAGAGAGAGACAGAGAGAGACACAGAGAUACAUAGAGAGAGACACACCCAGAGAGAGACAGAUAGAGAGACACAGAGGGAGACACACAGAGAGAGACAUAGAGAGACACAGAGAUACAGAAAGAGAGACAGAGACACAGAGAGAGACAGAGAGAGAGACACAGGGAUACAUAGAGAGAGAGACACACAGAGAGAGACAGAGAGAGAGACACAGAGAGAGAGACAUAGAGAGACACAGAGAUACAGAAAGAGAGACAGAGACACAGAGAGAGACAGAGAGAGAGACACAGGGAUACAUAGAGAGAGACACACACAGAGAGAGACAGAGAGAGAGACACACAGAGAGAGACAUAGAGAGACACAGAGAUACAGAAAGAGAGACAGAGACACAGAGAGGGAGAACAGACACAGAGUGAGAGACACACAGAGAGAGACAGAGAGAGAGACACAGAGAUACAUAGAGAGAGACACACAGAGAGAGAUAGAUAGAGAGACACAGAGAGAGAGAGACAGAGAGAGAGACACACAGAGAUACAGAGAGAGAGACACACACAUAGAGAUACAGAGAGAGAGAGACACAGAGAGACACACAGAGAUACAUAGAGAGAGAGAUACACAGAGAGAGACAGAUAGAGAGACACAGAGAGAGAGACAGAGAGAGAGACACACAGAGAUACAUAGAGAGAGAGACACACACAGAGAGAUACAGAGAGAGAGAGACAGAGAGAGACACACAGAGAUACAUAGAGAGAGAGACACACACAGAGAGAUACAGAGAGAGAGAGACAGAGAGAGAGACAGAGAGAAAGGGGUGGGGGGACCGCAGUGCAAUCACUUAGCAUAACCUGUGAUCAAUAUAUUUACCACAGUGCUGUUCCUGAAUACGAUUGGUCAGAAGGGAUUUCUACUGCACAUAAACAUAUAUAUAUAUAAAAAAAAAGUGUGUAACUGUAGAUAUGGAAACGUUUUCUGUAAAGAGAUGUUUAAUAUUUAUGGAAGGAGUCUCCAGUGUCAGCGCUUUGUAACAGUCAGAGGUAAAGCUGUAAUUAAGCUUCGCAUCAUUCCAUCUCAAGUGGUCCAAUAAUUACAAAGUUGGCUGUUGACAGUUAUUUAUUUAUUUAUUUAUUUAUUGAGAAAAAAAAAAAACAUAAACCUCAAUAUCUCGGCUUAGGACGGGCCUGACUCCUUGGAACGAAACCUGAUCUCUAUAGCACAUUACAAAGGACCUGCAUAUAUAUAAACAUUUUGCCCAUUCGUGCUCCUUAGACUUACAACUUAAGUCCGAUCGUAAUGCUCAAGAUUGCUCACAGUUCCACUUUUAGGGUCAGUUUAUAUCGGGAAGCGUCCGAGUCUCGGAAUUAUAAGUAUAAAGAUGGCCGUCAUGGUUAAACCCAGUAAAAUAAAAUAAAAACAAGUGGUGAUUUUACAAUGCCAAUACACAGAGGUAAUCAAUUGGACCACUCGAGAUGGAACGACCCUUUUCUGACAUGUGAAAAGUCUUUCACGUGUACUUUCUGGUUUCUCGAUAGAAGUUGCCUUUUUUUAUCCCACGAACUUCAAUAGAGAGUAAAAAAAGAGACGCUGUUGAGGGAACGAUUGUUUACUGCUGCUAUGCUGUAGACCUUAAAAGGAACUUUAAAUUGAUCAAAUGCGUCGCUCUUCAGAAAACAGCAAUUGUACUCAGUAUAUGAGGAAUAAAACACUUGUUUUAGGAAAAUAAUCAACUUUAGGAUGACAACCGUAGCUCCGCAUCGCGUCCGCUUACAUCACACCAACCUAAAGCUGAUUAUUUCCCUGCAACAGAACACUUCAUCUGCUUGGUUGGGGCUGUAUGAUGGCUGCCAGGCAUGGUGUAAUGGAGUAUUUCCCCAAUCGUCUUCUUCUCCUCCUGUUCUCAAUGACAGUCUAACAGAAGUUGAAAUUUUCCCAAGUUAUCAACCAAACACACACUCAUUCACUCACUCACACACCCACACCCACACACACCCUGUCCUCAUUUCUUCUUUCUGUCACUUAUUUAAUUACUGUCUCGCUCCGGUUUCUCCGAUGACACCUUUUCCCUCCUUCCUGUUCAUAUCUUUCCAAGAAACUUUGAUCCAAACUAGGAAAAGAAACCUCUUUUUGAGGUUUAAAAAAAAAAAAAACCCUGAAAUACAUCAGAAAAACAUCACAUUGAGUGAGAGGUGUUGUUUUCGGCACGAUCAGUCAUGCCAGCACUCUGUGACUUGGCGAAUCACUGGCUGGGAAGUUGGAAAUUUUCAAAGUCGCUGUAGAACUGAUACGAUAGGAAGAUGACUUGUUGUCUGAAAGUUCCAGUGAGAUCCUAAACAGAAAGAUGAAGCCAGAAUCCUUAGUAAUUACUACCUACACUGCCUGGCUGAUCAUUGCCAUCUAUAAACAAUAUAUAAAGUUCUAAAUGUUUACAGUUAUGGCAUUUGGUAGACACCCUUAUCCAGAACAACUUACAUUUAUCUCAUUUUUAUACAACUGAGCAGUUGAGAGUUAAGGGCCUUGCUCGAAGGCCCAGCAGUGACAGCUUGGUGGGAUUUGAACUCAUGACCUUCCAAUGAGUAGUCCAAUGUCUUAAACACUGAGCUACCACUGUCCUUCUUGCACGUUCCCAACAGUUUGGUACUGGUUCUUUAUUAGUACCUAGAAUAAUAAAAGACUAGGCAAGCCUAGCUUAGCUGGACCGCCACCUGCCUAGGAAAUUCGAGAAGUUGUUUCUAUCACCGUAGCAACCAUGGCAAAACUGUAGCCCUUACAAAGCACCUGAGACAAAUCAGUUUUCUUGGAUAUCUUGGAUACGUCCAUUUACAAAAUCUUCUUUUUCAAAUUUCUCCCCCUUACAUUGCUUAAAUCACUUAUUGCUCGGUAAUGGGCAUUCUUUUAAAACAUAUUUUAAGUUACUGCUGGUUGCCAUGGUUUCCUUAGUAACACCAAGCUAGAACAAUAUGGCCACGUACCACGCUAGCCUGGUUACACACGAUUGUCUACCAUCUAGAUGCUAAAACAUAUGUAAAGCCAGGCAUUUCAAAAUCAGUAGACCUCUGGACGGAAAUGCUUGCGUUAGAAUGAGCUGAAGAACUAUUGCGCAUUGCGAUCUGCCACAUAAUGUACAGAAACACGGAAUUGUACCACCAACCACCGCAGCCGUUUGCUUAAAGUUCCACAUUGUGUCAGCACUGGUUAUAACGUUGCUCUUGGUGUUAAUGCAGUGUAAGAUCUACUCAUCCAUGGUAGUGCUGAAACUUCCUGGAACACUUUCGAGUUUAUUUACAGAUUGUUGUAUAACGCCACCUACACUUUGGAUGUCCUCUUUAUGUUUCAACAACAGGCUGUCAAUCAGAAAAUGCGCCUUCUAGCAUAGCGAUCGCAGCAGGUUGCAGAGCUGUUUCCUAGGAAUAACCUUCCUGUCUCAACAGCAGUGUUUUUAGUUGAGAUAAUCCUUCGUAAAGUUCCAGGUGCGGGAGUCCCUGAGUGCAUUAUGAUUACCAUUUACACCCUGUUUAAAGGAGUUUACUCUCUCAUCACACUUAACAAUCUGUUCUUUCUGCCUGUCUCUUGUCUUGGCGCCUGAUGUGAUCCUAGUGCAAGCCCACUGCUGUGGAUCCUCCUGCUCCUCCAUUUUCGAGCCAUUUGCAUGUGCAAUUAAUAAUCUUACCUGAAUGCCCCAAAGACUGUUCAGAAAACUUUUACCCAUUAUCAUCUCACACAUACUGUAACAUCUCAUAUAUCUCCUCUACAGUCUCAUUUAAUGUGGUGACAGUACACAACCAGAAGGACCAAGGGCAAGGCAAUAUAAUAUUGGCACUCACUGAUGCAAUCUGAGGCAACAUUGUUGAAUUCUUAAUGCUGAUUGGUCAGAAGAUGGAUCUGACAGUAGUUCCGGGUGCAAAUCAAAUUACAGGUUUAUAUUAAUGUGCUCGUUCUAAUACAGUAUGGUUUCUAUGGUAACGGCAUUCACAGAGACUAGCAUGGAAGUCGUUCUACGUGAACAGAUUUUUUUUCUUUAACAGUGUGUAAUCGUUGAAUGGUGACGUUUUCUACGAAGAGACGUUUAUUCAGCACUUAUGCAAGGAAUAUCCAGUGCCAGCACUUUAUACAGUAACAUCCAUCAACCCAUCCAUUCAUUUUCCAUACCACUUAUCCUACAUAGGGUCAAGUGGGAGCCUGGAGCCUAUUCCAGAGAACUCGGGGCACAAGGCAGGGGACACCCUGGGCAGGGCACAAUCAAACACUACAGACAAUUUGGAAAUGCCAAUCAGCCCUGGAGGUCUUUGGACUCGGGAGGGAAACUGGAGUACCCAGAGGAAACCCCCGAAGCACGGGGAGAACAUGCAAACUUCACGCAUAAAUGGCGGAGGCAGGAUUCGAACCCCAAACCGCGGAGGUGUGAGGCAAACCUGCUAACCACAUAGCAUUUCCAUGUCUCAAAGCUGCUUUACAGAAACAUAUAAACACAGGAUGGAGAUUUUAAAUGUGUGAAUUUAUCCCUUUUGAGCGAGCCGGUGGUGCCGGUGGUGAGGGAAAAACUCCCUGAGAUGAUAUGAGGAAGAAACCUUGAAAGGAACCGGACUCAGACGGGAACCCGUCCUCAUCUGGGUAACAACGGAUAGUGUGAAAUUAAAAGAAAGUUCAUUAUGGGUUUAUGAAGUCUGGUUGUUGAACUAGUCCACUGUUCACUAAAGGAGAGUGUAAAACUGCAUGUGGUAAUCGCAGUCCCAAGGCCAUCGCUGCAACCACAGCGAGAACGUCCAUGUGGAAUUGAGGUCCAAAACUAUCUCCAUGGUACUUCAAGCGGUACCGUCCUAAUCAAUCUCCAGGCUGUAGCCUCCAGUUGAUGAGAGCUCCAUCCAGACGUAGGGCAUCAGGAUGGAUCAGGCAGGUCCGGAGAGCAGAAAGGGUCAGGAUCACUGGCACCUCCAUAAAAUCAUAUGUGGCUCGACAGAAUUCGAGAAGGACAGGGAGGUCAAGAGAGGGAGAGAUUUACAUGUAACACUGUAUCACCUCAGUACUGCAAGUUAUUAUCACAAAUCCAGCUAUUUGUUGUCGUUUAGUGUCUGUUUCCCUGCAAGGUUUCUUCUUGAUGCCAUCACGGAAGAGUUUCUUCCUUUCAUCUUUGGUUGUUCGUUAGAAGUCGAAAUCCAUAUUUCUGUAAAGCUGCUUUGUGACAGUGUUAGAAAAUUAAACGUGCUAUUGAAUUUCGGGUCUCUUUCAUGUGUUACAUCAAAAAUUCACUACAGUCAUAUAGUGAUAUCGCCGUAGAUUUAUUUCUUCUGUAUUGUCCACAUCAAAUACCUUGAUUCCUGUGACUUUCAAGACGCCACGGUUACGACGUUACGACCAGGGAGCUGGCUUCUGUGUCCUUCAGGGCUGAUUGUAAUUGGUAUUUUACUCCUUGGGCCAUUAAAAAAAAACACACACACACCACAUUGUACGUAAUUGCUUUACAGUACCUCAUUGUUUGUGCCCCCAUGGCUUCAAGAACAAUAUUCCUUUUAGUUUUUUGAGCAGGAAAGACUAUCUAAAUAAAGUUUCAAAGACUUUUAGAUCAUUUCGAUCCAUACCAGUUUCUUGAAACGCUGUUUUAGAUGCUUUUCCCUGAUACAGACGACUGAAAAAAAGCUUCUGAACUGCAAUUUUACUGGCUUCUGGCUUCUAAUCGAUUUGCAAGGUUGUUUUUUUUUAUUGAUUUAUUUAUUUAUUUAGAUUUGUCCAAUCAACACUCCUGUCCCUCGAGCACUUCCCAAAGGAAAUGUAAGUUGUCCUGUGUUUAAAGACGUAGUUAUACAGUAUGUUUACCACAGUGGUGUUUGAUUCUUGAUUCUGAUUGGUCCGACGUUGCGAAUAUGCUCAUUCUAAUGUGCUACUGUUUCCAUAGUAACAACUUAGACAGGGACUUGUUUUUGGCAGGCGUUCGAUAUUGAUGUAUUUAAAAAUGCGAUGAAACAGGGGAAGGUGAAAUUCCCUGUAAGGAGAUUACACCACCCCAACGUGUUUUUAUUCUCCGCAUGCGUAUAUAAUCAUCUGUGCGCAGAGUGAAAUGCAGGACCGGACUAUCGGUAAAUCAGUUUUGCUGAAAUUGUCAGGAAGGCUGCAUAGCUUAGGCUAACUUAGGCUGGGAAUGCACAUUAAUAAACACACACACACACAUACACAUCAGGCAAGAAAGUGAUAUGGGAGUGAAUUAGCUUUGGGCAUUGGCAGAACAGAGGGGAAUGAUACACGGUGGCUCGGCAAAAAGCACUAUAUGCAAUUUAAUACCGGAGUUAUAAGAGGGGGAAAAAACAGAUAUGGUGGUGAAAGGACAGGGGGAUUGUGUGUAAGGAAGGACUCUGGGAUGAAGCAUGCAGCACCUCCCUAUGGAUUUCUUCUCAUUUUGUAUUCUGGGAAGCUCUUCCUUCAUUUCACCCUGGCAAAAACAACAGGAAUAAUGCCUGAACAGAAGAACAGGGGAGGGCAGUGGGAGGGAGCGCGGUGUCAGGCCGAGCGAGAGAGGGAAAUUAGGCUGAUUACCAUUUCAGCGCACACACACUUUCAGAAAUGUCAACACUAAAAGUUUAGAGUCAAUAGAAUUUAAUUUAAAAGAGGUUGCCAAGUCCUGCUUUCGCACAGAAAUGGGAUACCUUUGUAGUAUUGCCGUAGGCUGUUUUGUUUUUUCCUUAUGUCAAUUUUCAGGAAACACAAUACGCUCACGUAGGUGCACUAUAAACACUAUACGCUCACGUAGGUGCACUAUAAACACUAUACGCUCACGUAGGUGCACUAUAAACACUAUACGCUCACGUAGGUGCACUAUAAACACUAUACGCUCACGUAGGUGCACUAUAAACACUAUACGCUCACGUAGGUGCGCUAUAAACACUAUACGCUCACGUAGGUGCACUAUAAACACUAUACGCUCACGUAGGUGCACUAUAAACACUAUACGCUCACGUAGGUGCACUAUAAACACUAUACGCUCACGUAGGUGCACUAUAAACACUAUACGCUCACGUAGGUGCAGUAUAAACACUAUACGCUCACGUAGGUGCACUAUAAACACUAUACGCUCACGUAGGUGCACUAUAAACACUAUACGCUCACGUAGGUGCGCUAUAAACACUAUACGCUCACGUAGGUGCGCUAUAAACACUAUACGCUCACGUAGGUGCGCUAUAAACACUAUACGCUCACGUAGGUGCGCUAUAAACACUAUACGCUCACGUAGGUGCGCUAUAAACACUAUACGCUCACGUAGGUGCAGUAUAAACACUAUACGCUCACGUAGGUGCACUAUAAACACUGCCAGAGGUCUAUUUUGCAUUGAAUCAGCACACACACACGCUUCAAACAUUCUUACUGAUGGGUAUUAAAAACUUACAGUCGCAUUAGAUAGGCGAGAGACCAGCACACUGUCUGAAUUACAGGAGGUGACUAUGGGGGUCAUUCGUUCCGUGGGGCAGUUUAUAAAAUGCCACUGAUGUUAAAUGUUUCACUUCCUCCCUCCCUUACGCUUAUUAAACCUCAGCCAUCGCUUCAGGACACAAAAAGUCAGACUGCCAGAGAGAUGAUGACUUUCUCUCUUCUUCUUUCCCGCGUCUCUCUCCAAAUCCUCUCCGUGACCCGGCCAGUGACUCUCUAAUCGACUCCUGACUGCUUUCCAGUCCAUUUGCAUUCUCUCUGACUCGACACAGAGGCUGUACUAAAGUCUAUGAAGACCCACACUCAGACGUUGUGCCAAGUCGAAUGAAAAUGUGAACUUUCUGAGCGGUUUUGAGGCGACGUGACGCCCGUCUGCUGUAAAUAAGACUCUGAGCGUAAUUAUGUAGUCGUUAAUGAAAAAUGAUGCGUAGAUAACAGUCGAUUAUGCGAGUACAGAAGAGUGGAGCAGAUUUACUUGUAUCAAAUCCGGCAGCAAAAGGAUGCCAGAGCCAGAGGUGAUAUAAAUCAGGGAAAGGCCAAGAUGAAAUUGUAAAGGGGUGCAAAAUUACUAAUAGGACCAGAGAGGCAAGCUGGGAUUUGACCCAGGAAUUUUGGAGUGACUUGUUCAUGAACUUAUCACUUUGUAGGGUUGGCCACAUGACUCCACCUAACUCCACCUGACUCCACAUGACACCCCAUGACUCCCCAUGACCACUUAACUCCACAUGACUCUACAUGACUCCCCAUGACUCUACAUGACUCCACCUGACUCUACAUGUCUCCCCAUGACUCCCCAUGACUCCACCUGACUCCACAUGACUCCACAUGUCUCCACAUGUCCCUACAUGACUCCACCUGACUCCACAUGACUCCACAUGACUCCACAUGUCUCCACAUGUCCCUACAUGACUCCACCUGACUCCACAUGACUCCCCAUGUCUCCCCAUGACUCCACAUGACUCCACAUGUCUCCACAUGUCCCUACAUGACUCCACC
ensembl:lncRNA